UACGUAGGGUGCAAGCGUUGUCCGGAAUUAUUGGGCGUAAAGAGCUUGUAGGCGGUUUGUCGCGUCUGGUGUGAAAUUUCGGGGCUCAACCCCGAACUUGCAGUGGGUACGGGCAGACUAGAGUGUGGUAGGGGAGACUGGAAUUCCUGGUGUAGCGGUGAAAUGCGCAGAUAUCAGGAGGAACACCGAUGGCGAAGGCAGGUCUCUGGGCCAUAACUGACGCUGAGAAGCGAAAGCAUGGGGAGCGAACAGG
rnacentral:rRNA from 1 species